rnacentral:rRNA from 1 species
GAUGAACGCUGGCGGCGUGCUUAACACAUGCAAGUCGAACGGGAUCGGCUGGAGCUUGCUCCGGCCGUGAGAGUGGCGAACGGGUGAGUAAUGCGUGACCGACCUGCCCCAUACACCGGAAUAGCUCCUGGAAACGGGUGGUAAUGCCGGAUGCUCCAGUUGGAUGCAUGUCCUUCUGGGAAAGAUUCUAUCGGUAUGGGAUGGGGUCGCGUCCUAUCAGGUAGUCGGCGGGGUAACGGCCCACCGAGCCUACGACGGGUAGCCGGCCUGAGAGGGCGACCGGCCACAUUGGGACUGAGAUACGGCCCAGACUCCUACGGGAGGCAGCAGUGGGGAAUAUUGCACAAUGGGCGCAAGCCUGAUGCAGCGACGCCGCGUGCGGGAUGACGGCCUUCGGGUUGUAAACCGCUUUUGACUGGGAGCAAGCCCUUCGGGGUGAGUGUAC